rnacentral:lncRNA from 1 species
AAAAUUUUGAUAUACCUAAAUUUUGCAAAAUAUUUUAUCGAAUUUUUGACUACACAGAGACAAUCAAUGAAAAAAGACGAAAAAAAUCUAGUACUAAAUGAAAUUUCAUUGUUAUGUUAGAAGAAGGAUAGCUAUACUGAUUCGGUAUACUCAAAAGAUACCGUUGGUACAAAAUGGACGAUCUAACAAAGAUUAUAUUUCAGUAAAUUUCGCCUUACUGAUCUUGUCUUUUAUGGACUUGACCUCCCUUUUUGACUCUACAAGAAUAUG